ACGGCUGAGUAACGCGUGGGUGACGUACCUGUUGGUGGGGAAUAACUGCCCGAAAGGGUGGCUAAUUCCGCAUAAGUCCUUUGGUUUCAAUCUGAAGGGGAAAGGCUUCGCAAGAGGCGCCGAUGGAGCGGCCCGCGUCCGAUUAGCUUGUUGGUGGGGUAACGGGCCUACCAAGGCGACGAUCGGUAGCUGGUCUUAGAGGAUGAUCAGCCAGACUGGGACUGAGACACGGCCCAG
rnacentral:rRNA from 1 species